rnacentral:rRNA from 1 species
GAUGAACGCUGGCGGCGUGCCUAAUACAUGCAAGUCGAGCGAACAGAUAAGGAGCUUGCUCCUUUGACGUUAGCGGCGGACGGGUGAGUAACACGUGGGUAACCUACCUAUAAGACUGGGAUAACUUCGGGAAACCGGAGCUAAUACCGGAUAACAUUUGGAACCGCAUGGUUCUAAAGUGAAAGAUGGUUUUGCUAUCACUUAUAGAUGGACCCGCGCCGUAUUAGCUAGUUGGUAAGGUAACGGCUUACCAAGGCGAUGAUACGUAGCCGACCUGAGAGGGUGAUCGGCCACACUGGAACUGAGACACGGUCCAGACUCCUACGGGAGGCAGCAGUAGGGAAUCUUCCGCAAUGGGCGAAAGCCUGACGGAGCAACGCCGCGUGAGUGAUGAAGGGUUUCGGCUCGUAAAACUCUGUUAUUAGGGAAGAACAAAUGUGUAAGUAACUGUGCACGUCUUGACGGUACCUAAUCAGAAAGCCACGGCUAACUACGUG